rnacentral:tRNA from 1 species
GCAUUUGUAGUUCAGUGGUAGAAUCCUCGCCUUCCAUUUGGGAGACCUGGGUUCAAUUCCUGGCCAAGGCA